AAGAACAGGGACUUAGAAAAGCUUAGACAUUCAUAGGAAUAAGACCUCCCACUAUUUAUUGGUUGAUUACAAGCUCAGUAUGAUUCAAUUGAUGAUUAGAUAGUAGACAUCACCUGUUACAAUUGGAGCCCUGUGGCCAAGAGGACGCCUAUGAACUAUUUCACCUGAUUAGGCCACGCUGGAAUUUUGUGCUUGGUGGAAGAUUUUCCCUAUUCCACAUUUUGGAAGUAUCAAGAGCUGUUUCAUGAGAUAAGCUGGCGAGAGGAAAUAGACUACUCUGGUAGGAAACUAGAGCAGGUGUACUCAAGGUAACAUUCUGCCUACUUCCUGGUCUACUAGUUCAAGAAAAACGUUUGUUUUGAGUGCCACACGGCGAACCCAUUUUAGAAGUGUUUCUAUUACUAAUAAAACAUUUGCAUAUUUGGAUAGU